ACACCUCAACUCUUCAUGGUUUUCUGUGAUGAGCUUGGACUUUGGGGGUUUUGCUGGCCUAUGGCCGGCUCCUCUAAAAUGAAUCAGCUUUCCAGUGUUUGGUGGGCGUCACAGGUGUGAUAACUAUCUACGCUUGUGGUUUUCCCACCAGGUAACCUUCAGCAGUGAAGGUUCGCUGGAGCUCAUAGAUGUCUCUCCUCAGUGAGGACGACCCUUUGAAU
rnacentral:misc_RNA from 1 species